rnacentral:rRNA from 1 species
AGCGAACGCUGGCGGCAGGCCUAACACAUGCAAGUCGAACGAAGUCUUCGGACUUAGUGGCGGACGGGUGAGUAACACGUGGGAACGUACCUUUUGGUUCGGAACAACUCAGGGAAACUUGAGCUAAUACCGAAUGUGCCCUUCGGGGAAAGAUUUAUCGCCAUUAGAGCGGCCCGUUAGAUUAGCUAGUUGGUGGGGUA